rnacentral:lncRNA from 1 species
UCGUGAUUAUUGGAUGCACGUGGAACCCCAGAAAGUAAAUUCUCCUGUGUAUGUCAUAUUUAUAUUCAGGAAAAUAUGUCACAUAUUAUUAGCUUACUUAUGGUGUUGGUGUGUGUGGGUAUCUGUUUGUCUAUACAUAUUUAUUACUGUACUGAAAAUCUGAAAUUGCUGAUACCCAUUUUCCAUUUUCCCUUUUCUCUGCAUUCUCAUCUCUGUAAGACACUCUGUCCUUCUCUGUCUUGGUUCAGUGGUUCUGGUUGCAGAAAUAUAAAAAUAUUGAAUGGAUUUAUGAUUCUAAGAAUCUUUUUUUUUUAACACUCUACGUUUACUUGCUGGGCUUUGUGAUCCCAAGUUUAUUGAUGAUAAAGGGUGAAGUUUUUUCUGAUCUGGGUCUUGUCUGUAAUGAUGUUUGUGAAACUUCUCUUGACUUGCAUGUACUUGAUUCAAGGUUUUCAAGUACUUCUUCAACUUAUUUUAUUUUCCCUUUUGGUUGUUUUAUAUGCACUACUUGUUUGAUUGUUACUCUCUAUCCACUGUUACCACUUUUAGGUUGUUGAUGAAUAGGCUUUUAGUUUUGAGAAUGCCAAAUUAUUGAGGAUUCGUACAGCAAACAACAACUAAUUUAGGGUCUAGGCGUGGUUAAUGUUCUAGUUGAAAUGUCAAAGAUCAGCUGUACUGUUGUAAUUAUGUAAUGUACAGGGGAGGUACAUGUAAAUUGUUUACUGAAUUGUCAUUUUGCUUUAGUGUUGAAUUCUUUCACAGAGACUUCAAGAACAUAGAAUUGACCAAAAAAUAAGAAGGCUGUAAUUUUCUUUGGAAUCGUAGAAUUAGUGAAUCUGUAUUUUGACUUCAUUAACGAGCAUUAUGGGAUUGCUAUGCAUGUAUUUAUCAGUCCAGUGAAUUUAUAUGCAGCAGAAAUGAGAGAGAGAGAGAGAGAGAGAGAAAAUUAGUGUUGGAUUGCGACGAGCAUAAAUGGGCGACAUAGACACUGAAGAUUCAUAUCGCCGACACCAACUUGCUUGGGAUUGAGGCAUACUUGUUUGUUUUUAUUCGUCAGGCGAAUCGAAGUGAAUACAUUCCCUGCAGUUCACUUCUUGUAUGUUGUGAUUUGUGCAGAAGAGAAGUAUUCUCUAACAUCCUUUAGAGAAGGAUGGCUCUUUCUGGAGCUAAAGAAGAUGCAAGAGAGGUGAGGAUUUAUGAGUAUUUGGAUGAACUAAGUGCUGAUCUGGCAGACUAUAU